CCUAUGGGGGGCAGCAGGCGCGAAAACUUUACAAUGCGGGCAACCGUGAUAAGGAAACCCCGAGUGCCACCACAGGGUGGCUGUCCACCAGUGUAAAAAACUGGUGAAGAAAGGGCCGGGCAAGACCGGUGCCAGCCGCCGCGGUAAUACCGGCGGCUCGAGUGGUGGCCGCUUUUACUGGGCUUAAAGGGUCCGUAGCUUGAUUCACAAGUCCCUUGAGAAAUCCAUCGGCUUAACUGAUGGGCGUUCAGGGGAUACUGUGGUUCUAGGGACCGGGAGAGGUGAGAGGUACUGCCGGGGUAGGAGUGAAAUCCUGUAAUCCCGGUGGGACGACCUAUGGCGAAGGCAUCUCACCAGAACGGCUCCGACAGUGAGGGACGAAAGCUGGGGGAGCAAACCGGAUUAGAUACCCCCGUAGUCC
rnacentral:rRNA from 1 species